rnacentral:rRNA from 1 species
GUGGCGAACGGGUGAGUAACACGUGAGCAACCUGCCCUGGACUCUGGGAUAAGCGCUGGAAACGGCGUCUAAUACUGGAUAUGAGACGUGAUCGCAUGGUCGUGUUUGGAAAGAUUUUUCGGUCUGGGAUGGGCUCGCGGCCUAUCAGCUUGUUGGUGAGGUAAUGGCUCACCAAGGCGUCGACGGGUAGCCGGCCUGAGAGGGUGACCGGCCACACUGGGACUGAGACACGGCCCAGACUCCUACGGGAGGCAGCAGUGGGGAAUAUUGCACAAUGGGCGGAAGCCUGAUGCAGCAACGCCGCGUGAGGGAUGACGGCCUUCGGGUUGUAAACCUCUUUUAGCAGGGAAGAAGCGAAAGUGACGGUACCUGCAGAAAAAGCGCCGGCUAACUACGUGCCAGCAGCCGCGGUAAUACGUAGGGCGCAAGCGUUAUCCGGAAUUAUUGGGCGUAAAGAGCUCGUAGGCGGUUUGUCGCGUCUGCUGUGAAAUCCCGAGGCUCAACCUCGGGUCUGCAGUGGGUACGGGCAGACUAGAGUGCGGUAGGGGAGAUUGGAAUUCCUGGUGUAGCGGUGGAAUGCGCAGAUAUCAGGAGGAACACCGAUGGCGAAGGCAGAUCUCUGGGCCGUAACUGACGCUGAGGAGCGAAAGGGUGGGGAGCAAACAGGCUUAGAUACCCUGGUA